rnacentral:rRNA from 1 species
CAUGCAAGUCGAACGAAGUAGCAAUACUUAGUGGCAGACGGGUGAGUAACAUGUGGGUAUCUACCCUUUGGCCUGGAAUAACACGAGGAAACUUGUGCUAAUACCGGAUAAGUCUUUACGGAGAAAGCUUUAUGCACCAUUGGAUGAGCCCGCACUUGAUUAGUUUGUUGGUAGGGUAAUGGCCUACCAAGACUAUGAUCAAUAGCUGAUUUGAGAGGAUGAUCAGCCACAUUGGGACUGAGACACGGCCCAAACUCCUACGGGAGGCAGCAGUGGGGAAUCUUGCACAAUGGAGGAAACUCUGAUGCAGCGAUGCCGCGUGAGUGAAGAAGGCCUUUGGGUUGUAAAGCUCUUUCGUCGGGGAAGAAAAUGACUGUACCCGAAUAAGAAGGUCCGGCUAACUUCGUGCCAGCAGCCGCGGUAAUACGAAGGGACCUAGCGUAGUUCGGAAUUACUGGGCUUAAAGAGUUCGUAGGUGGUUGAAAAAGUUAGUGGUGAAAUCCCAGAGCUUAACUCUGGAACUGCCAUUAAAACUUUUCAGCUAGAGUAUGAUAGAGGAAAGCAGAAUUUCUAGUGUAGAGGUGAAAUUCGUAGAUAUUAGAAAGAAUACCAAUUGCGAAGGCAGCUUUCUGGAUCAUUACUGACACUGAGGAACGAAAGCAUGGGUAGCGAAGAGGAUUAGAUACCCUCGUAGUCCAUGCCGUAAACGAUGUGUGUUAGACGUUGGAAAUUUAUUUUCAGUGUCGCAGGGAAACCGAUAAACACACCGCC